rnacentral:rRNA from 1 species
UACGUAGGGGGCUAGCGUCGUCCGGAUUUAUUGGGCGUAAAGAGCGUGUAGGCGGCCAUGUAGGUCCGGUGUGAAAACUCGAGGCUUAACCUCGAGAUGUCAUCGGAAACCAUUUGGCUAGAGUCCGGAAGAGGAGAGUGGAAUUCCUGGUGUAGCGGUGAAAUGCGCAGAUAUCAGGAAGAACACCAAUGGCGAAAGCAGCUCUCUGGGACGGUACUGACGCUGAGGCACGAAAGCGUGGGGAGCAAACAGG